GACGAACGCUGGCGGCGUGCUUAACACAUGCAAGUCGAACGGAGAUAUAUAAAUAGUUUACUAUGAAUAUAUUUUAGUGGCGGACGGGUGAGUAACACGUGGGCAACCUGCCUUAGAGUGGGGGAUAACAACGAGAAAUCGUUGCUAAUACCGCAUGAAAUUAGAUUAUCGCAUGAUAGUUUAAUGAAAGGAGAAAUCCGCUAAAAGAUGGGCCCGCGCCUGAUUAGCUAGUUGGUGAGGUAAAAGCUCACCAAGGCGACGAUCAGUAGCCGAUCUGAGAGGAUGACCGGCCACACUGGAACUGAGACACGGUCCAGACUCCUACGGGAGGCAGCAGUGGGGAAUAUUGCACAAUGGGGAAACCCUGAUGCAGCAACGCCGCGUGGAGGAAGAAGGUUUUCGGAUUGUAAACUCCUGUCUUUUGGGACGAUAAUGACGGUACCAAAAGAGGAAGCCACGGCUAACUACGUG
rnacentral:rRNA from 1 species